GUCUAUUAUGAAGUUAUUAAUAGUCUGGCCUGCUCCCUGACUAUGAGUUAAAGAGCCGCGGUAAUUUGACCGUGCAAAGGUAGCAUAAUCAUUAGUUUCUUAAUUGGGAACUUGUAUGAAAGGUUUGACAAAGAAAAAGCUGUCUUUAUUAUAAAAAUUGAACUUAACUUUUAAGUGAAAAGGCUUAAAUAAUUUAGAGGGACGAUAAGACCCUAUAAAGCUUUAUAUAAAAAGUAAUUAAAACUGAGUUUAUAAUAAGAGUUUGAAUUAGUUAUAUAUUUUGUUGGGGUGAUAUUAAUAAAAUUGAUAUUAACUGUUAAAAACUAAUACGUAAAUAAAAGAGUUAAAUUUCUUAGUGAUCCUUAAUUAAAGAUUAAAAGAUUAAGUUACUUUAGGGAUAACAGCGUAAUUUUUCUUGAGAGCCCAUAUCGAAAGAAAAGAUUUCGACCUCGAUGUUGAAUUAAGAUAUCUGUGUAGAGUAGUCGUUACAUAAGAAGGUCUGUUCGACCUUUAAACUUUUACAUGAUUUGAGUUCAGACCGGCGUGAG
rnacentral:rRNA from 1 species